rnacentral:rRNA from 1 species
AUUGAACUCUGGCGGCAGGCCUAACACAUGCAAGUCGAACGCGUGGCGGACGGGUGAGUAAUGUCUGGGACACUGCCUGAUGGAGGGGGAUAACUUCUGGAAACUGUAGCUAAUACCGCAUACCCUCAGAUGUGCCCAGAUGGGAUUAGCUAGUUGGUGGGGUAACGGCGCACCAAGGCGACGAUCCCUAGCUGGUCUGAGAGGAUGACCAGCCACAAUGGAACUGAGACACGGGCCAGACUCCUACGGGAGGCAGCAGUGGGGAAUAUUGAACAAUGGGCGCAAGCCUGAUGCAGCCAUGCCGCGUGUAUGAAGAAGGCCUUCGGGUUGUAAAGUACUUUCAGCGGGGAGGCGUUAACCGCAGAAGAAGCACCGGCUAACUCCGUGCCAGCCGCCGCGGUAAUAC